rnacentral:lncRNA from 1 species
AGAUUGUGCACAUAAUAUGGUCAGAAAUACCAAAUCUUUACUGUAUUCUUUCUGUCUGCUCACUUCUGUGCCAGGUGACUGACAGAUGCAUGCACGACUCUGUCCCUGCUGUUGGCAAACUCCAAAUAGAGCUGGGAGAGCAGAGAAUCUUCUGAGAGGGUCUGGCUUGAAUGGAGAGCACAUGGAAAGCACACGGUUUGGUCUGUGCCAGCGAUGCAGGGAAAAUGCCACAUCCCCAGAGGCCAUCCCUCCAGCACCACUGGCAUCUUAGGCACAGACCCUGGUGUCUUCCUGAGCAAGGACAUGGACAAGAGGGACAUGGAGAAGAAGGGGUUUAUGCAUAAACUUGGCAUAAACAUGGUGGCUGUGUGGAUUAAUGGUCCUUUCUGGGAGAGGAAUAAUCAAACAACUCGAAAUUCAAGGAAUACAAAAGAAUUACACAAAAUCAAGCCCACCUUGGCUCAGAUUCUAGUAUCUUUUGGAAUGUCACAAACUGAAGGUUUGUUUCCUAAUAAGGAGAGGCCUGCUGAUGAAUACUAGAAGAGUUCCUGAGCUUCUCAACAUCCUGCCCAGUUGAAUGAAGAUGCAGGGAUCAGAACUGUCCAGAAUGCGUGCUGACACUCUUCCUUCUGAUCAUCACUAAUCAACCUCAGUAUCAUCUCCAACUGAGCCCAAGUCAGACCUCGGACUUCCUCUCGACACAGAGCCUGGAUGGCACCAUUCACUGGAGUCAGCUCAUGAGAGGUAACUUAUUUGCCAUCUCUGUUUUAAAGACUCAGUAUCAUACUACCAUCACCCUACA